rnacentral:rRNA from 1 species
UACAGAGGUCUCGAGCGUUGUUCGGAUUCAUUGGGCGUAAAGGGCGCGUAGGCGGCGGGGUAAGUCUGGUGUGAAAUCUCGGAGCUCAACUCCGAAAUUGCACUGGAUACUGCUCUGCUAGAGGGCUGGAGAGGAGAUCGGAAUUCACGGUGUAGCAGUGAAAUGCGUAGAUAUCGUGAGGAAGACCAGUGGCGAAGGCGGAUCUCUGGACAGCUCCUGACGCUGAGGC